UUUAAUUUUGGGAAGAAAUGGUGCAAUUACGUGAUCGGAAUCGACCGGCGGAUUGGCCGGAGCUAAUCGGCCGUUGCGUGGUCUCUCUCAUGCUUGUUUUACUAACUCAAUCUACUCAAUUUCUAGUUCCUCAGUUCUUCUCCGAUUUCUCCGUCUUCCUUCAACUCCUAAUUUCGGCCUUGCUGCUUCUAGCAGUUUCAGCCACUGCGGGAUGGUGCAGGCGGCUUCUUCGAGUCCGUGCGUCAGCUCCAGCUUUCGUUUUCUUCAGUAUACUUUUUAUUUGGAUGGUUUACACAGCUAUUGUUCGACAAGCUGCUUCGCACUUGAUGGAUCUUCUGUUUAAUGGGCAGACGGUCUUUCUCAUUUUUGGCCUUUGUAGGAUGCUAUCCAGUGAUCCUGGUUUGGUGUCAUAUAGACCACCCCCUUCGGAUGUAAUUGCCCAAAGUUUAGUUUYAGAAACUGACACUCACCAUCAGGAAACAGAAUGUUUAACGAUUAGUCCUCAUCUCAUGCAUUCGACUGAAGCAGAUAUUGGAUUGGGUAAUAGGGUGAGAUGCUGCCAGAUCUGCAAAGCAUAUGUUAAAGGCUUCGACCACCACUGUCCUGCAUUUGGAAACUGUAUUGGGCAUAAAAAUUAUCUCCUCUUCAUGGUUCUACUAAUUGGAUUUCUCUGGACUGAAGCUACUUACUUAGUGUGCUUAUCUCAAUAUGUGGCGAAGUCUGAGGUUCCUGAUGGUGAUGGAACUAGGUUAGAGAAUAGUUUCUCAAGAAAAGUGGUUUUGAGCACAAUGCUAUUCUCCAUUCUACAAUUAGUAUGGCAGGUGGUGUUCUUAGUGUGGCAUUUGUAUUGUAUCUGCUUCAACAUCAGAACAGAUGAAUGGAUUCACUGGAAGAGGUAUCCAGAAUUUCAAAUUUUUGUCCAGUCUGAGCAGGGCCAAAGGUCUGGUGAAAUAAGGUUCAAAAACCCAUAUCACAAAGGAGUUUUACAGAAUGUCAAGGAGUUUAUAGCGUCAAAACGGUGAAACUGGUUCUUUCUAGCCUCAUAACUUGUAUAUUCUUACCAGCUAYCGAGUUUCGAAAUCGAAGGAGCAACUUUCUAUCUACCAAAAAAGAGAUUCAAAUUGAUUGAAGCAACCAUAGCUAAAAAGUAGUCUCUCUCUCAAAUUUGGUAACCAUCACAUGAGCAUUGUUACAAGAUCCUACGUUGAAAAAAAAAGACUUUACAAAAGUUUACGAAAUCCCAUGAAUAUUGAUAUGACAUCUAGUAAAAAUAUCGAUGAGUUGAAGAGAACCACGAUCUUGAAGGGAUAUGUUAGGGACUCUGCAUGUUUAGAAUAGACACGGUUUUGAGAUGGAACCCUACGAAUAUUGAUAAAUACGGUGGAUGCUGACCUUACAAAAAUUAAUGAUUUCAUUUGGGAAGCCUUCAAUCUUUCGAAUCACUAAACGGGGCAAUGCACCUUUUGGUGGGCGGAGAGCAGCUUUUUGCAUGACAGUAUCAGAAGUUUGGUAGCCUGUUUCUCCUUUUUUCCGAUGGUAUGGAUUCUUUUGAGAAGUGGUGUUGUUUAUUUUUCGUAUUCUGAAUAUAUAUUGGUGACGGUCACAAAUUCUAACCAUAGGCUAGGAGAAGAAAUCACAAAAAAUAAUUCAAAAUUGCGUUGUAACUUCUUUGUCAUCGUGCUUUCUACGCUAUGCAGUUGUUGAGUCAUGCUAUACAAAUGCCAUUUUUCAAUUCAAUAUUCAUAU